rnacentral:rRNA from 1 species
CGGACGGGUGAGUAAUGUAUAGGAACUUGCCUAGUAGUGGGGGACAACGCGUGGAAACGCACGCUAAUACCGCAUACGCUCUACGGAGGAAAGCGGGGGAUCUUCGGACCUCGUGCUACUAGAUGGGCCUAUAUUGGAUUAGCUAGUUGGUAGGGUAAAGGCCUACCAAGGCGACGAUCCAUAGCUGGUUUGAGAGAAUGAUCAGCCACACUGGGACUGAGACACGGCCCAG